GGAUUCCCUUAGUAACGGCGAGUGAACAGGGAUUAGCCCAGCACCGAAGCCUGCGAUCAUUUGAUUGCUAGGCAAUGUGGUGUGUUUAAAUUGGUUUUUGACAAUUCUGCUUCAUCCUAAGUCCAUCAAUGAGUACGGCCAAUGGACCGGCCCAUAGAGGGUGAAAGGCCCGUGUGGAUGAAGAUCAAGUGUGACAGAAUUGGCAUAAACUGAUUGUGGAGUCGGGUUGUUUGUGAAUGCAGCCCAAAGUGGGUGGUAGACUCCAUCCAAGGCUAAAUACUGGCACGAAUCCGAUAGCAAACAAGUACCGUGAGGGAAAGUUGAAAAGUACUUUGAAGAGAGAGUAAACAGUGCGUGAAACCGCUCAGAGGUAAACGGGUGGAGUUGAACUGGAAUCCCCGGGAAUUUAACUGAUGAGUAUGGCAUGCGCUUGUGCAUGUUGGCCAGCAUCGAGGGUUUGCUUAAUUGCAGGCCUUGGCUCUUUUAGGAGUUUGGGUACACGUUGCGCUUGUCAAGUGCAGUGUGCUUUGGUUGCAUUGGGCUUGCUUGUCAGUGCAUUUUCUCGGGGUGAUCACCACGACCGGCGUGGUUGUCUGUUUACUGCGGUUAAACCGAUCAAAUUUGGUCAUGUGGCUGGGUUUGGUUGGGAUGGCAGGUAGCUUGCUUGCUCAUUCGGGUUUGCAAGCGUUAUCAGCUGGCUGUAGUAAAUUUGUACAAUAUGUCGGAGAUGACGGCUUCAAUUAUUCUGUCUGGCAAAUCAAGUUGGGUUUGAUUGGCACGUACUUGUUUU
rnacentral:rRNA from 1 species